ensembl:lncRNA
AUUUGUCUCUGUGUACAUCUAAAUAUUAGUGUGUGUCUGUGUGUAGAACCAUAUGUUAGUGUGUCUGUGUGUACAUCUAAUUGUUAGUGUGUCUGUGUGUACAUCUAAAUAUUAAUGUGUCUGUGUGUACAUCUAAAUGUUAGUGUGUCUUUGUGUACAUCUAAAUAUUAGUGUGUGUCAUUGUUUAGAACCAAAUGAUAGUGUGUCUGUGUGUAGAUCUCAUUGUUAGUGUGUCUGUGUGUACAUCUAAAUGUUAGUGUGUGUCUUUGUGUACAUCUAAAUAUUAGUGUGUGUCAUUGUUUAGAACCAAAUGAUAGUGUGUCUAUCUAAUUGUUAGUGUGUCUGUGUGUACAUCUAAAUAUUAAUGUGUCUUUGUGUACAUCUAAAUGUUAGUGUGUGUCUUUGUUUAGAACCAAAUGUUAGUGUGUCUGUGUGUACAUCUAAUUGUUAGUGUGUCUGUGUGUGGAAUUAAUUGUUAGUGUGUCUGUGUGUACAUUUAAUUGUUAUUGUCUUUGUGUACAUCUAAAUAUUAGUGUGUGUCUUUGUUUAGAACCAAAUGUUAGUGUGUCUGUGUGUACAUCUAAUUGUUAGUGUGUCUGUGUGUACAUCUAAAUAUUAAUGUGUCUUUGUGUACAUCUAAAUGUUAGUGUGUGUCUUUGUGUACAUCUAAAUAUUAGUGUGUGUCAUUGUUUAGAACCAAAUGAUAGUGUGUCUGUGUGUAGAUCUCAUUGUUAGUGUGUCUGUGUGUACAUCUAAAUGUUAGUGUGUGUCUUUGUGUACAUCUAAAUAUUAGUGUGUGUCAUUGUUUAGAACCAAAUGAUAGUGUGUCUGUGUGUAGAUCUCAUUGUUAGUGUGUCUGUGUGUACAUCUAAUUGUUAUUGUGUCUUUGUGUACAUCUAAAUGUUAGUGUGUGUCUUUGUUUAGAACCAAAUGAUAGUGUGUCUGUGUGUACAUCUAAUUGUUAGUGUGUCUGUGUGUACAUCUAAAUAUUAAUGUGUCUUUGUGUACAUCUAAAUGUUAGUGUGUGUCAUUGUUUAGAACCAAAUGUUAGUGUGUCUGUGUGUACAUCUGUGUGUGUGUGUGUGUAUGUGUGUCAUGCGUAGAUCUGGAUUUGCUCCUGAGGGGUUGACGUGACGUCCUGAUGGCGUCCCGUUGACGUGGCGUCCUGAUGGUGUCCUGAUGGCGUCCCGUUGACGUGGCGUCCUGAUGGCGUCCAGUUGGUCUACAGACAAGGAGAAGAGACGUGAGGAGGAUCAUCAGGAUGUG